CAGAUAUACAACACUGUUCCAGAACAGUUCAACCCAAAUACUGAGAUGUUUGUAGCACAUUUUACGGAGGACGAGGACUGUUUCCUGAACCAGUAUCCUACAAUGCAUCUGUGCACAAAGGCUGUUUCUAUAAAGUGGGGCAAUUCCAACUUUGAAAGGACAGUCUGCCGCUUCUGACUCACAGCCUCGGCGGAUGCGAGCCAGGCCCCGGGCGACGACCUCUCUCCCUCCACUGCCUCUGGUCUUCGAGAUCUCCACCCGGAACCGCUUCACUCCCCUCCGUGAGACGGAACGUGACGCUGUGAUCAUCGGAGACUCCAUCAUCCAGCAUAUACCCGUGACGAGAGCCCUGGAGCGGUUGUGCUUCAUGCCAGGGUUAACGACACCACGUUGCGGCAGACAGAGACACUGAAGAGGGACUUCAGGAGCCUGAUCGAGACGGUG
ensembl:lncRNA